UGUCUCCUGUCUCACUGUCCUCAGCUUUGUAGAACAUUGCGCUGGUGAUCAUGGUUAACAGCAGCAGGACGAGACAACACGAGACCCGCUGCACACGCGUGAAGGUGCUGGGUUCGGGACGCAUAAAGCAGGAGAGCCACAGGUCUUCAACAUCCAGCCUGCUCAGGAACCAACUGGCCUGGUACCCGCCGCUGUUGUCGUGCCAGAUGCUUUGUGACCAUUAUUACGAACCCGUUUGCUAUCCGAUAAGACCCGGAUGCCGGAGUCCGCAUGAGAGCCUCCGAGGACGAAACUAACGUUGGAUUUUGUGCCAGAGCCUCGUUUUAACCCUGUGUGGACUGUCAGCAGGUACAGGUAGUUCUCUCCCACUAGAUUGUCCUUCAGGUAACCUACCA